rnacentral:rRNA from 1 species
UACGGGGGGGGCAAGCGUUGUUCGGAAUUACUGGGCGUAAAGGGCUCGUAGGCGGCCAACUAAGUCAGACGUGAAAUCCCUCGGCUUAACCGGGGAACUGCGUCUGAUACUGGAUGGCUUGAGGUUGGGAGAGGGAUGCGGAAUUCCAGGUGUAGCGGUGAAAUGCGUAGAUAUCUGGAGGAACACCGGUGGCGAAGGCAGCUCGCUGGGACGUAACUGACGCUGAGACGCGAAAGCGUGGGGAGCAAACAGG